ensembl:lncRNA
GCUGUCAGCCACGAGCCGGGGUUUUCCGUGUUUACCCGGAGUGUUCUGUUGUCUAAAGUGCCUCAGAUAGGGAGGACGUUCCUCCAAAACGUUGCCGAAUGAAGUCGAGGGUGCCCAGCGGUGCCGGCUUCCUAGGAGGUGGGGUGCGGCGUGGCCUCCCGCCGGCGGCUGUUGCUCUGCCUUCCUCCUGCGUUCCCACGUGGGGGCUCUGGCCUGUGCUGCUGCUGUCAGCGUGGGGGGACGGGGACCCAGGCCCACCGCGUGCGUGCAGGAGUAGGCGGGGGCGCCCGGUCAGAAGGGAGGCUGUAAGCUGCAGCCCUUGGGUGUUGGAGCUGAGCCCAGGUGACUCCCUUCUCCCUACAAACAGGCAGAAGAGCUCAAAUUGGCUACCCAGCUGACAGGACCAGUCAUGCCCAUACGGAAUGUCUAUAAGAAGGAGAAAGCCAGAGUCAUCACAGAGGAGGAGAAGAACUUUAAGGCGUUCGCCAGUCUUCGCAUGGCCCGUGCCAAUGCCCGGCUCUUUGGCAUCCGGGCAAAAAGGGCCAAGGAAGCUGCAGAACAGGAUGUUGAAAAGAAAAAAUAAAGUGCCAUUGGCAACUUGUGAUACCUGCAGUGUCCAUGUGAUGGCGGUCUCCUCUGAGGGCUUGGGGGCAAGAACUUGGGGAACGUGUGUCCUUCCUGAGGGGACCUGGGACCUGGCAGGAGUGAUGCCAUCUUUGCAGGGCAGCCCCAAGACUGUUGCAUCUUACUUUCUAUGCUUUAGGACUGUUGAUUGAGUAACACGAGUACUCUUCUUGUGGAGGUGUUGCAAAGAGUGAUUGUUAACCAGAGUAGUUUCCGGGUACUUGAGCAUGUUGGGGUUUGGGGCCAGGUCUUCCUGGGCCUGUCUGCACUUGUGCGUGCAAGCUCUGGUGUGGACGGCUGGGGUUUGGCUGCCGCGAACCCAUCUGCAGGCUACUGUGCCUGUGUGGCAGCUAGGCAGAGCCGGGGCAGCCUCGGUGCCUACGCCAGGCCUUUACCUGGAUCCCUUGUGGCAGCGUGGCACCCAAGUUCCUUUGAAACCACAGCUUGGAUUCUCUCCGAGUGAGAUGCUGAGAUGGGGCCCCAGCAGGGCCUGCUGUGAGGAACCGCUUUGGGGCGGUUUGGGUUGGACCCCCAGCCCUGCAGGUGUAGGUCUUUACUAACCGUGAAUGCCUUCUGCUGCGCUGCUGGUGUCCUGCACCUGGUUCCUGUUUGGAACCAAAUCCCAAGUAUGUUUUCGUCUAAUAGAUGAUUUGGAAGGCUUAUUUACUUUUCUCACAAUGCGGUUUAUGAGAUACCAAUUUCCAUGCUCCUUUUUUGCGUUUGGAAAUGGAGGGGUGGGAGCCUAAGCUGCCUCCAUGACGAUCCCGGGCAGAAGGAAUGAGGUGGAGCUGCCUGUGGAAGGCCCUGUGGCCGUGGUUCCCACUGGUUUGUGCUAAAGAGCUUUUAAGGAGCUGGAUUUAACUUACCCGAUGGCAGGUGGCCAGACCCCUGGAUGCAGUCUUCACUGGUUGAGCCCAGGCCUCAAUAGGGCAG